UACGUAGGGUGCAAGCGUUGUCCGGAAUUAUUGGGCGUAAAGAGCUCGUAGGCGGUUUGUCGCGUCUGCUGUGAAAACCCGAGGCUCAACCUCGGGCCUGCAGUGGGUACGGGCAGACUAGAGUGCGGUAGGGGAGUCUGGAAUUCCUGGUGUAGCGGUGAAAUGCGCAGAUAUCAGGGAGGGAACACCGGUGGCGAAAGGCGGGACUCUGGGCCGAUACUGACGCUGGAGGAGCGAAAGCGUUGGGGAGCGAACAGG
rnacentral:rRNA from 1 species